CUAGAAUCUCGCUUAUAGGUUCUCCUUCUACCAAUUGCCUAGAAUCUCACUUUUUGGUUCUCCUUCUACUAAUUGCCUAGAAUCUCCCUUAUAGGUUCUCCUUCUACCAAUUGCCUAGAAUCUCGCUUAUAGGUUCUCCUUCUACCAAUUGCCUAGAAUCUCACUUUUUGGUUCUCCUUCUACUAAUUUCCUAGAAUCUCCCUUAUAGGUUCUCCUUCUACUAAUUGCCUAGAAUCUCCCUUAUAGGUUCUCCUUCUAC